UAAAAUUAGUGUGUAUGUGUGUGUGCAAAUAAUAAUUUAGAGUAUCAGUUUGUCUAUGUUUGUGUGUUUGUAAUAAAAGAAAAGAGUUUCUGUGUGUGUAUAAAAAGAAGAGUGUAAGGGUAUGUAUGUGUUAGAGAGAUAAAAGAUUGAAAGAAAACAAUUAUUGAUUAUUUUAUCGAUUCGUGGAAGAAAGUGUAGAUGCUUAAAGGUGAAAACAAAGUCAUUCGUUGCGUUGUGUACCUGCGCAUCAGGAGGAUAAUCUCAUAGAUAAGGGAUUCUGUAUGAAAACAUUAAUAGUUCUGCUUUCAAGAAUCUUGCAUCAAAUUUUCUUGUUUUUUCAAAAAGAAAUUUUUAUUUUUUUUGUAAAAUAUUUAUUACAAAGUUUUAAGUAAAAUUAAAUGGGGGCAAGGUGAUGUUGCAAUUCGUUACUUAACCAAAAAAAUGAAGUUGCAAUAUCCGGAAGCAAUGUCUAGCAACAAAUUUAGGAAACCGAUUGCUACAGUAGCUCAAAUUCUCAACAUGUCCAAAGAAGAAACAAGCCAAUUUUCGAAAUUUAUGGGUCAUACUGAAAAAACACAUGCAGAAUUUUAUGAGUUACCAGUUGACAUAUAUCAGACGGCAAAAGUUUCAAAAUUAUUGAUGAUGAUAGAAAAAGGAUCACUGCCUGUAGAGUACAAAGGAAAAUCCUUAACUGAAAUUGAUUUUGAUAAAAAUUUGGAAUAUGCAGAAGAAGGUACCGAAGAUCAUAAUGAUAAACCCUCUGAAUCAAAAGUUAUUAAAAAUACAACUAACAACAUCACCUCAUCCAAUGUUGAUACAUAUACACAAUAGUGAAGAUAUCGACUUAAAUCAUGAUAGUAAUCCAAAUUCAUACACAACGACAGUUCCAAAGAAGCAGAAAAUUAAAAAAUCUGGAUGGACGAAAGAUGAAUUAGAAUCAAUGAAUUCUCACUUUAUGAA